GCCCCAGUAGUAUAACCCAUUACUUUGGUCUUGUAAACCAAAAAUGAAGCCUCUAACGCUUCCUGGGACA
rnacentral:tRNA from 1 species